rnacentral:tRNA from 1 species
GCCUGGGUAGCUCAGUCGGUUAAGGAUCUGACUUCAGCUCAGGUCAUGAUCUCACGGCUGGUGGGUUCAAACCCCACGUCGGGCU